UUUUUUUCUCACUCCCCCUUCUUGCUGUUGCAUAUUGUAGCUCAACUUAAAACCUCAUUAAGAUCCAAAUGUGCAAAAAGUACAUUCUAGCUAUUUUUCAACUGGUCUUAAGAUUUUGAUCAGGUCUGUAUAGCCUUUGGUCCAAAAAAACGUCAUAGUAUAGCAUGUCGCUCGAAAAACAUCAUAGUAUAGCAUGUCGUCCCAAACCCAUCAAACUAUGGCAUGUCACUCUAAAAACGUCAUAGUAUGGCCUUUGGUCCAACAAACAUCAUAGUAUAGCAUGUCGCUCAAAAAACGUCAGAGUAUGGCCUUUGGUAUAAAAACGUCAUCGUAUAGCAUGUCGCUCCAAAAACGUCAUAGUUUAGCAUGUCGCUCUACAAAUGUCAUAGUAUAGCAUGUCGCUCAAAAAACGUCACAGUAUAGCAUGUCGCUCUAAAAACGUCAUAGUAUAGCAUGUCGCUCUAAAAAUGUCAUAGUAUAGCCUUUGCUUUAAAAAUGUCAUAGUAUAGCAUGUCGUCCAAAAACCAUCAUAGUAUAGCAUGUCGUCCAGAAAACGUCAGAGUAUAGCCUUUGGUCUAAAAACGUUAUGUCCUGGCUGUCUGAAGUAGGUGAGGAGCAACAGAAAAACAGUCCAAAUGCUGGUUUCCAGAGGGUUAGACGAGUAUUUAUUUGAAAGAGUAAGUUUACAACAGCACAUGUGAGGGGGUUAAAAGCAAAUGAGUGUUAGUAAAAUAAGAAGAAAUAAACAGAACUAAAAGUGAACAUCACGUUGACAUUGAUGGACAUUCCAACCAUGAACCAAGUAAAAGAUAAUCAAUACGAAAAACAACUCUUCCUGUUCACCUCUUAAAACCCAAAAACACCGCAGUAGCAUCAUGAACUAAAACUACCAAUGGGUUCCCUGUUUUCUUUUGUGAACAAUUCAAAGGUCCCUCUCUAUCUCCCCACACAUCCACCAACCACUGGAACACAUCUCCAAAGUUCUGCCGGGCCAGCUCAGCUUCCCCUCAGAAGAAGUGCCGCCACCUGCCAGAUGAAGGAGCCUUUUGAGAGGCAGCUGGCAUCGUGAUUGGACUGUACUUUGGUCUAUUCCAAUCCAGCUUCAGCUCCAGAGACGGCAGGCGGGACGAGUCAACGAAGGCCGGGUGGACGAAGGCAUGCAGCUGAGUCAAAAAAAAAAUGUGAUUUUUCAACAUGUUGUAAAAAUGUGCCAUAUGAUGAAAUAAUGUAAAGGAGGCCGUGAAAAACACUAUGGUAAG
ensembl:lncRNA